UACGAAGGGGGCUAGCGUUGCUCGGAAUCACUGGGCGUAAAGUGCACGUAGGCGGCUUCUUAAGUCAGGGGUGAAAUCCUGGAGCUCAACUCCAGAACUGCCUUUGAUACUGAGGAGCUUGAGUCCGGGAGAGGUGAGUGGAACUGCGAGUGUAGAGGUGAAAUUCGUAGAUAUUCGCAAGAACACCAGUGGCGAAGGCGGCUCACUGGCCCGGUACUGACGCUGAGGUGCGAAAGCGUGGGGAGCAAACAGG
rnacentral:rRNA from 1 species